AUUGAACGCUGGCGGCAGGCCUAACACAUGCAAGUCGAACGAGUGGCGGACGGGUGAGCAAUGUCUGGGAACCUGCCUGAUGGAUGGGGAUAAUUAAUGGAACCGGUAGCCACUACCGUAUACCUUCGUAUGUGCCCAGAUGGGUUUAGCUUGUGGGUGGGGUAAAGGCUCACCUAGGCGACGAUCCCUAGCUGGUCUGAGAGGAUGACCAGCCACACUGGAACUGAGACACGGUCCAGACUCCUACGGGAGGCAGCAGUGGGGAAUAUUGGACAAUGGGCGCAAGCCUGAUGCAGCCAUGCCGCGUGUAUGAAGAAGGUCUUCGGGUUGUAAAGUACGUUGAGCGGGGAGGCGUUACCCGCAGAAGAAGCACCGGCUAACUCCGUGCCAGCAGCCGCGGUAAUAC
rnacentral:rRNA from 1 species